rnacentral:snRNA from 14 species
AUACUUACCUAGGCCAAAACAACCAGCUCAAGAAUCGGUCUGUUUACACGACGAGACCUCCAUUGUACAGCGGGGAGUCGAGUGGUGUUGGUUUCUCCUUCGUGGGACGUCAUAGCCUCUAUUUUUGAUUGCUUUCUUUUCAUUGAGAACU